rnacentral:rRNA from 1 species
UGGGGAAUAUUGCACAAUGGGGGAAACCCUGAUGCAGCGAUGCCGCGUGAACGAAGAAGGUAUUCGUAUCGUAAAGUUCUGUCCUAUGGGAAGAUAAUGACAGUACCAUAGAAGAAAGCUCCGGCUAAAUACGUGCCAGCAGCCGCGGUAAUACGUAUGGAGCGAGCGUUGUCCGGAAUUAUUGGGCGUAAAGGGUACGCAGGCGGUUUAAUAAGUCGAAUGUUAAAGAUCGGGGCUCAACCCCGCAAAGCAUUGGAAACUGAUAAACUUGAGUAGUGGAGAGGAAAGUGGAAUUCCUAGUGUAGUGGUGAAAUACGUAGAUAUUAGGAGGAAUACCAGUAGCGAAGGCGACUUUCUGGACACAAACUGACGCUGAGGUACGAAAGCGUGGGGAGCAAACAGG